AUUGAACGCUGGCGGUAGGCUUAACACAUGCAAGUCGUGCGAGAAAGUAUCUUCGGAUAUGAGUAGAGCGGCGGACGGGUGAGUAACGCGUAGGAAUCUACCUAGUAGAAGGGGAUAGCCCGGGGAAACCCGGAUUAAUACCGUAUACCUCCUUCGGGAGAAAGAAGGCCUCUCUUUGAAGCUUUCGCUACUAGAUGAGCCUGCGUAAGAUUAGCUUGUUGGUGAGGUAAAGGCUCACCAAGGCUACGAUCUUUAGCUGGUCUGAGAGGACGAUCAGCCACAUUGGGACUGAGACACGGCCCAGACUCCUACGGGAGGCAGCAGUGGGGAAUAUUGGACAAUGGGCGCAAGCCUGAUCCAGCCAUACCGCGUGUGUGAAGAAGGCCUUCGGGUUGUAAAGCACUUUAAGCAGGGAGAAAAAGUUAUAAGUUAAUAUCUUAUAACCCUGAUGUUACCUGCAGAAUAAGCACCGGCUAAUUCCGUGCCAGCAGCCGCGGUAAUACGGAAGGUGCAAGCGUUAAUCGGAAUUACUGGGCGUAAAGCGCGCGUAGGUGGUUUGUUAAGUUGGAUGUGAAAGCCCUGGGCUCAACCUAGGAACUGCAUCCAAAACUAACUCACUAGAGUACGAUAGAGGGAGGUAGAAUUCAUAGUGUAGCGGUGGAAUGCGUAGAUAUUAUGAAGAAUACCAGUGGCGAAGGCGGCCUCCUGGAUCUGUACUGACACUGAGGUGCGAAAGCGUGGGUAGCGAACAGGAUUAGAUACCCUGGUAGUCCACGCCGUAAACGAUGACAACUAGCUGUUGUAAGACAAUGUCUUUCAGUGGCGCAGCUAACGCUUUAAGUUGUCCGCCUGGGGAGUACGGCCGCAAGGCUAAAACUCAAAUGAAUUGACGGGGACCCGCACAAGCGGUGGAGCAUGUGGUUUAAUUCGAUGCAACGCGAAAAACCUUACCUACUCUUGACAUACUUGGGAGCUCUU
rnacentral:rRNA from 1 species